GGAACAUCCUUUCAGUACUACCAAAGCUGAAACACUGAUCCAACUUUUCAAAAAACGACUACCUGACCAAGUUAAGCUACUGAUACAGAAUCAUAGAAUUGUUUAGGUACAUAUUUGUGCCCUUCUAUGUGCCUGGACCUGGAAACUGGGCUUCCUGUGAUUUAUAGUCUGUUUGGGCAGGAUUUUCUCUGUUGCUACCACCUCCAAAACAACUGCUCUGGGUCUCACUAGCAGAGAUGUCCCCCAAAGGUGCCAUGGUAGUCGUGGAGGAAAGGAAGUUUACAAAGUAUUUGGGAAAGUGCUGUAAACCUUUAGCCUGUGACCUCCCUGAAGGGUUGUGCUGGCAGGAGCAUGCUUUGCAUGUGCUUCUCACCCCUUCCUGUGAGGCUGAAACUAAACAGCCAUGUUUGACUGCACUUCUGCA